GCCCUUCCAUUGUCAAGAUGAGGGGCAGAGGCGUGCCGAGACACAGCCCGCAGGAGGCGGGCGGGAGCCCAGACCUCACUUGAACUGAAGGAAGCUAGAGCGAGAAAGGAGGGGCACAGUGCUUCUGCGGGCUCCCACCUGAAGACAGAGACAGAAGCUGGACUGAAUGGAGAAAUGCCUGGCAUGAGUGGUGCCGUGAGUCAGCGCAGAUCCAAGCUCUGUCCCUCUGCCCCUCUGCUCUGCUCUUUGCCAGACCACACAGCCUCCCUCCCCUCCUGCCAAGCGUGGCCAGCGUGCCGUCCAGACACAAUCAAGGCCUGAAAAGACGAUGAGAAUGCAGAUCUGGAAAUUCUGGCUGUAAAAUACCCCACAGAAAGGUGAACGAAGAAGGAACCACAAAUAAAGUCACCGCCACUGAGUGUUUACUGUGUGUUAUGGGUUGAACUGUGCCCACCCCCAAAAACCCAUGUGUUCCAGUCCUAACCCCCAGAGUGUGCCCUUAUUUGGAAAUAAGGUUGGUGCAGACACAAUUAGUUAAGCUGAGGUCAUAAGGAGCAGAGUGGGCCCCUUAUCCAAUACGACUGGUGUCCUCACGAAAAGGGAAAAUUUGAACACAGACACACUCAGGGAGAACACCGUGUGAAGAGUGGAGUCACGCUGCCCCAAACCAAGGACCUACCAGAAGCUCCGAGAGAGGCCUGGAACAGAUCCUUCUCUGGAGCUUUCAGAGGGAGCACAACCCUGACGACACCUGGAUCUUGGACUUCCGGCCUCCAGAACUGUGAGACAACAAAUUCCUGUUGUUUCAGCCUCUCAGUUCAUGGUCCUCUGUUACAGCAGCCCUGGCAAAUGCAUAUGAUAUGUAAUAGGUGCUAUGCUAACUGAUUUACAUCCACUGUCUCAUUUAACCCUCGGGACAACCCAUCAAUAGGUACCAUGGUCCGUUUUAUGGAAGAAUAAAUUAAACGAGAGGAAGGGUAAGUAACUUGUUCAAGGCUGAGCUGCUUCAAUCUAAAAGGACAGUGGUAUUCAAAGCCUCGGGCUCAGGGAAGCCCGCCCCACACCCAACCUACCCUAAUUGGGUAAAUCCCACGGCGUUCUUCACUCAGCCUUUCAAUCCUUGCUCAAAAUAGAUGUUGUCUCUUCAACAUCUGCUUGGCUUCUGGUUAAGAUGCUUGCAUGCCCUGUGUGGUGGUCAGAUUGGUGCACUCACCUGUUCUAAGUCCAUAUACAUGGAAAGACCUAGUGAGUUGUGAUGUUUAUGUCACACGUGGCACCUAAAUGCCUACCCCCUCAUUUACCAACAAAUGGGAGCCAACUCUCCUGGCUUCAUGCCAUCUCACUGUGCAACGUCCAAUAUACACACACACAUACACACACACACACCCCAGCCAUCAUAGUACAGACUGUUCAUGUGAUUUAUGUUUGUUUAAUUUGUAUUUUUGUCCAUGGUUUGUCACCCAGUUGUGUGCAGAUUCCUUACCUCAGCCUUCUUCUAUCUAGCCCCAGAAGAUGUGUUCCAUUUUCAAAGUCGUGGGAGCCAAGUAAAACCUCCUUCGUUGUCAUGGGCUAAUGGGCUAUAGAGCAGCUGCAGACCUGAUCCUGAGACACCGUGUCAGGGCUGA